GCCUUGUGGUUCCUAGAGUCCGCUCCAAACCGCUGAACUGUGGGUUUUUGUAAACAGGCGCACAAUGAUCCUGCGAUUUGAUGCAUGGAAGCUGCCAAUAUAGCUUUUUAGCCCGGUUGCAGAAACAAUU